GAUGAACGCUGGCGGCGUGCCUAAUACAUGCAAGUCAAGCGAACAGAUGAGGAGCUUGCUCCUCUGACGUUAGCGGCGGACGGGUGAGUAACACGUGGAUAACCUACCUAUAAGACUGGGAUAACUUCGGGAAACCGGAGCUAAUACCGGAUAAUAUUUUGAACCGCAUGGUUCAAUAGUGAAAGACGGUCUUGCUGUCACUUAUAGAUGGAUCCGCGCCGCAUUAGCUAGUUGGUAAGGUAACGGCUUACCAAGGCAACGAUGCGUAGCCGACCUGAGAGGGUGAUCGGCCACACUGGAACUGAGACACGGUCCAGACUCCUACGGGAGGCAGCAGUAGGGAAUCUUCCGCAAUGGGCGAAAGCCUGACGGAGCAACGCCGCGUGAGUGAUGAAGGUCUUCGGAUCGUAAAACUCUGUUAUUAGGGAAGAACAAAUGUGUAAGUAACUAUGCACGUCUUGACGGUACCUAAUCAGAAAGCCACGGCUAACUACGUG
rnacentral:rRNA from 1 species